rnacentral:rRNA from 1 species
CAUUACACAAAUAUGAAGGCGGGCUGGAACCUCUCGGGGUUACAGCCUUGCUGAAUUAUUCACCCUUGUCUUUUGCGUACUUCUUGUUUCCUUGGUGGGUUCGCCCACCACUAGGACAAACAUAAACCUUUUGUAAUUGCAAUCAGCGUCAGUAACAAAUUAAUAAUUACAACUUUCAACAACGGAUCUCUUGGUUCUGGCAUCGAUGAAGAACGCAGCGAAAUGCGAUAAGUAGUGUGAAUUGCAGAAUUCAGUGAAUCAUCGAAUCUUUGAACGCACAUUGCGCCCUUUGGUAUUCCAAAGGGCAUGCCUGUUCGAGCGUCAUUUGUACCCUCAAGCUUUGCUUGGUGUUGGGCGUCUUGUCUCUAGCUUUGCUGGAGACUCGCCUUAAAGUAAUUGGCAGCCGGCCUACUGGUUUCGGAGCGCAGCACAAGUCGCACUCUCUAUCAGCAAAGGUCUAGCAUCCAUUAAGCCUUUUUUUCAACUUUUGACCUCGGAUCAGGUAGGGAUACCCGCUGAACUUAAGCAUAUCAAUAAGCGGAGGAAAAGAAACCAACAGGGAUUGCCCUAGUAACGGCGAGUGAAGCGGCAACAGCUCAAAUUUGAAAUCUGGCUCUUUUAGAGUCCGAGUUGUAAUUUGCAGAGGGCGCUUUGGCUUUGGCAGCGGUCCAAGUUCCUUGGAACAGGACGUCACAGAGGGUGAGAAUCCCGUACGUGGUCGCUGGCUAUUGCCGUGUAAAGCCCCUUCGACGAGUCGAGUUGUUUGGGAAUGCAGCUCUAAAUGGGAGGUACAUUUCUUCUAAAGCUAAAUAUUGGCCAGAGACCGAUAGCGCACAAGUAGAGUGAUCGAAAGAUGAAAAGCACUUUGGAAAGAGAGUCAAACAGCACGUGAAAUUGUUGAAAGGGAAGCGCUUGCAGCCAGACUUGCUUACAGUUGCUCAUCCGGGUUUCUACCCGGUGCACUCUUCUGUAGGCAGGCCAGCAUCAGUUUGGGCGGUAGGAUAAAGGUCUCUGUC